rnacentral:rRNA from 1 species
GUGGGGAAUAUUGCGCAAUGGGGGAAACCCUGACGCAGCAACGCCGCGUGAGUGAGGAAGGACUUCGGUCUGUAAAGCUCUGUUAAUGUGGAAAAAUGGUAGUUGGUCUAAUAGGCCGAUUAUUUGAUGGUACACAUAGAGGAAGCACCGGCUAACUUCGUGCCAGCAGCCGCGGUAAUACGAAGGGUGCAAGCGUUGUUCGGAUUUAUUGGGCGUAAAGCGCGCGUAGGCGGACCUGCAAGUCAGAUGUGAAAUCUCGGGGCUCAACCCCGAAACUGCGGCGGAAACUACAGGUGUAGAAUCUUGGAGGGGGAAGGGGAAUAUCGCAUGUAGGGGUAAAAUCCGUAGAUAUGCGAUGGAACACCAGAGGCGAAGGCGCCUUCCUGGACAAGUAUUGACGCUGAGGCGCGAAAGCGUGGGGAUCAAACAGGAUUAGAUACCCUUGUAGUCC